rnacentral:lncRNA from 1 species
AAGAGCAAUUUAUUAUUAAUAUGAUCGAUUCUUUGAAAAACCUAGAGGACAGAAUAGAUGAGCCUGCAAAGUUCUUUACCUGGUAAAAGGCCAAGAGGUAUAGACCCUUCAAGGCUCUGAAGAAAAACAAGAUUUCAAUGCUCCAGAUGAAAUUUUCCCAAGACUACGAAAGACUAAGCAAAAAGAAAGAAAAACUAGCUUAAAAAACAAACUCUGAUGGAAAAAGAAAUGUAAAUAUUAAAAGAAAAAGUAAGAUUGUUAGAAAAUCAUGAAUGAAAAUACUUUUAAAAAAAGGCUCAGAAACAUCCAAAAAGGAAGUACGAAAAAUUUUAUCCAAAGUCUUGUCCAAAAAAAGGAUAAGGACAAAACCUCCAAUAAAAUCUCCAACUUUCAACAAAUGCAAGCAAAAGAGACAUUAUGCUAACCAAUGCACCAAAAAGGAUAUUAAAAGAAAAAUCCAGGAGAUAUCCGAAAAAAGGAUUUGGAUGAAAUAAGAGAAAAUUAGACGACCUCAUUAGUAGUCUGAAACUAGACUCAAAGGAUGAGUAAAAUGAAAUACAAGGGUGUUCAUGUGGUGAUGAAUACUCUAAUAAAGAUGAAACUAGUGAUAAUGAAAUCCUAGUAUUGUCUAACGAAGAGCAAUUUAUUAUUAAUAUGAUCGAUUCUUGAAAAACCUAGAGGACAGAAUAGAUGAGCCUGCAAAGUUCUUUACCUGGUAAAAGGCCAAGAGGUAUAGACCCUUCAAGGCUCUGAAGAAAAACAAGAUUUCAAUGCCCUAGAUGAAAUUUUCCAAAGACUAGGAAAGACUAAGAAAAAAGAAAGAAAAACUAGCUUAAAAAACAAACUCUGAUGAAAAAAGAAAUAUAAAUAUUAAAAGGAAAAGUAAGAUUGUUAGAAAAUCACGAAUGAAAUAUUUCUGCCG